rnacentral:rRNA from 1 species
GACGAACGCUGGCGGCGCGCCUAACACAUGCAAGUCGAACGAGCGAGAGAGAGCUUGCUUUCUCGAGCGAGUGGCGAACGGGUGAGUAACGCGUGAGGAACCUGCCUCAAAGAGGGGGACAACAGUUGGAAACGACUGCUAAUACCGCAUAAGCCCACGACCCGGCAUCGGGUAGAGGGAAAAGGAGCAAUCCGCUUUGAGAUGGCCUCGCGUCCGAUUAGCUAGUUGGUGAGGUAACGGCCCACCAAGGCGACGAUCGGUAGCCGGACUGAGAGGUUGAACGGCCACAGUGGGACUGAGACACGGCCCAGACUCCUACGGGAGGCAGCAGUGGGGAAUAUUGCACAAUGGGGGAAACCCUGAUGCAGCGACGCCGCGUGGAGGAAGAAGGUCUUCGGAUUGUAAACUCCUGUUGUUGAGGAAGAUAAUGACGGUACUCAACAAGGAAGUGACGGCUAACUACGUG